AACGCGAAGAACCUUACCAGGUCUUGACAUCCUCUGACAACCCUAGAGAUAGGGCUUUCCCUUCGGGGACAGAGUGACAGGUGGUGCAUGGUUGUCGUCAGCUCGUGUCGUGAGAUGUUGGGUUAAGUCCCGCAACGAGCGCAACCCUUGAUCUUAGUUGCCAGCAUUCAGUUGGGCACUCUAAGGUGACUGCCGGUGACAAACCGGAGGAAGGUGGGGAUGACGUCAAAUCAUCAUGCCCCUUAUGACCUGGGCUACACACGUGCUACAAUGGACAGAACAAAGGGCUGCGAGACCGCAAGGUUUAGCCAAUCCCACAAAUCUGUUCUCAGUUCGGAUCGCAGUCUGCAACUCGACUGCGUGAAGCUGGAAUCGCUAGUAAUCGCGGAUCAGCACGCCGCGGUGAAUACGUUCCCGGGUCUUGUACACACCG
rnacentral:rRNA from 1 species